CCCAGGAGCUGGUGGCCCCAGACUGUCCUGAGGUGGCUCAAACACGGAUGAGGAUGGAUGUGAGCUGAUGGUUGAUGUCUCCCAUGGCCUGGUGGCUCCAUCAUCCCAUUCCUUGUUCCCUGAGAUCCAGGAUGGGUGGUGGGACAUCCCCCAGGACCCGGUGCUCUGGGAUCCCGUUCCCUGCUCCCAAAGGUCCAGCACAGGUGGGAUUGAUGUCCCCCAGGAGCUGGUGGCCCCAGGACUGUUCUGGGGUGGCUCAAACACGGAUGAGGAUGGACGUGAGCUGAUGGUUGAUGUCUCCCAGAUCCCGUUCCCUGCUCCCAGAGGUCCAGUACAGGUGGGAUUGAUGUCCCCCAGGAGCUGGUGGCCCCGGGACUGUCAAGAGGUGGCUCAAACAUGGAUGAGGAUGGACUUGAGCUGAUGGUUGGUGUUUCCCAUGGCCUGGUGGCUCCAUCAUCCCAUUACCUGUUCCCAGAGAUCCAGGAUGGGUGGUGGGACAUCCCCCAGGACCCGGUGCUCUGGGAUCCCAUUCCCUGCUCCCAGAGGUCCAACAUGGGUGGGAUCGAUGUCCCCCAGGAGCUGGUGGCCCCAGAACUGUCCUGAGGUGGCUCAAACAUGGAUGAGGAUGGACGUGAGCUGAUGGUUGAUGUUUCCCAUGGCCUGGUGGCUCCAUCAUCCCAUUCCCUGUUCCCAGAGAUCCAGGAUGGGUGGUGGGACAUCCCCCAGGACCUGCUGCUCUGGGACCCGGUGCUCUGGGAUCCCAUUCCCUGCUCUCAGAGAUCCAGGAUGGGUGGUGGGACAUCCCCCAGGACCUGGUGCUCUGGGAUCCCGUUCCCUGCUCCCUAAGGUCCAGUAUGGGUGGGAUCAAUGUCCCCCAGGAGCUGGUGGCCCCAGGACUGUCCUGAGGUGGCUCAAACACGGAUGAGGAUGGACGUGAGCUGAUGGUUGAUGUCUCCCUGAUCCCGUUCCCUGCUCCCAGAGGUCCAGCACAGGUGGUGGCACCAUGACUGGUGGCCUCUACGAGCCCAGUGGCUCCAGGACUUGUCUCUCUGGUCCCGGAGAGGGGACACAGGUGAGGGAUGUGACCUGGUGGCCCCAGGAUUGUUCUGAAGUGGAUCAAACACAGAUGAGGAGGGGCAUGAGCUGAUGGUUGACUCCACAAUCCCAUUCCCUGCUCCUCAAGAUCCAGCAUGGAUCAACACGACUGUUGACACCCCCAUGACCUGGUGGCUCCGUGAUCCCAUUUCCCAAAAAAUUCGGGACAUCCCCAAAUCCCUGCUCCCCACCCCCCAGCUCCCUGGACCCCUCAGAAUUCCAGGACCCCCAAUCUCUCCCUCCCAAACCUGGAUUGUCCCAGAAACUCCUCCCCCCAAUCCCAAACCCCCUAAAAUCCUGGACAUUCCCCCCAAGCCUUGGAAUGGGGGUUCCUUCAUUGAAUUUUGGCAUUUUUUUUCCCCUCCUGAGCUCCCCAGGGAAGCCCCACCCCAGAGAUCCCUCUGCAUCCUUUAUUUUGGCUUUUUUCCCCCAUCUUUCCUUAUCUCUUUGCUUCCCAAAUCCCCUUUUUGGUGGAAAAAAUGGAAAAUUCAGGUGGAAAACACCGUGUUUUCCUGCACUGACGCUCCACGGUUUUGGGCAGGGAUGAAGGUUCUGCCACAAAAAAAACAGAAAAACGGGAGACAAACCAAACCCAGCGAUUUUUUCAUGGAAAAAAAAACCUGGAGGAUUUUUGGGGGGAGAAAAGGGAAAUUUUAGUGGAAAAGACCAGAGUUUUUUACCGUUUCAGACAGGGGUGAAGGUUCUGCCAUGCAAAUUAAAAAGGUUGGGAAAAAAAA